GUCUACGGCCAUGCUACCCUGAACAAGCCCAAUCCCAUCUGAUCUCAGAAGCUAAGCAGGAUCGGGCCUGGUUAGUACUUGGAUGGGAGACCACAUAGGAAGACCAGGUGCUAUAGAAG
rnacentral:rRNA from 1 species